CAACUCUGUUUCAUAACUGAAAG
rnacentral:piRNA from 1 species